rnacentral:rRNA from 1 species
AAUGAACGCUGGCGGCAUGCCUAACACAUGCAAGUCGAACGAAGGCUUCGGCCUUAGUGGCGCACGGGUGCGUAACGCGUGGGAAUCUGCCCUUGGGUUCGGAAUAACAGUUAGAAAUGACUGCUAAUACCGGAUGAUGUCGUAAGACCAAAGAUUUAUCGCCCAAGGAUGAGCCCGCGUAGGAUUAGCUAGUUGGUGGGGUAAAGGCCUACCAAGGCGACGAUCCUUAGCUGGUCUGAGAGGAUGAUCAGCCACACUGGGACUGAGACACGGCCCAGACUCCGACGGGAGGCAGCAGUGGGGAAUAUUGGACAAUGGGCGAAAGCCUGAUCCAGCAAUGCCGCGUGAGUGAUGAAGGCCUUAGGGUUGUAAAGCUCUUUUACCCGGGAUGAUAAUGACAGUACCGGGAGAAUAAGCUCCGGCUAACUUCGUG